CCAGCAUCACGUGACUGGUUUGGGAAAAGUUAAAGCUACACUGCUCGUGGGGGACCCGUCCCUGGGUCUCUGCACCCCCAUGCUCUCUCUGCCCCUCCUGAACCUCGGGACCAAAGGGGGCCAGGAAAUUGUCAGGGGAGGCGAUCACAGAGAAAGACCAAAGCUUGCAGACAGGGGACAGGGGCAGGACCUCUGGGAGAUGUGGAGUCUGCAGAAGACAUUGACCUCUGCUUUCUCCACUCGGCCCACACUGACCCCGCAAGGAGAGCUGGCAGAUCAAAACGCGAAUAUACAGAUGAGGAGACUGAGGUAGACGGAGGCAGAGCCCAGGCGCCAGAGCUGUGGCACGGGACAAGGACAAGCAGACACCCUGGCCGGCUUUUCUGGCACCUCUAACCAGGAUAUGGCAUCAGACAAGCCUGAGCUCAAGCCUUCCCUCAUCACCCACAAGCAAGUCACAGCCAUGCUUCCUUCCACAUCUGUCCAGGAUCUAGACGUUUCUCCCACGCCUGUUUGCAGUGCCUGGACUAGUAAAAACCAGAGCUCGCAGGAAGAGAAUCAGCCUAGCUGUGCUAUGUGGACAGCCUAGGAACACUUCUGCACCAGGAGCCUGGGGCUACCUGACCCCUCAGCCUCAGUGUUUAUAUCUCUCAGUGGGCACAACAGCACCAGCCUCCAGGCUUGCCUUACAGGUCGGGAAUGACACCACAGCCUGUUGUCCUCCUCAGCUCAGGGAGGCCUGGGCUCAGACUCAGACGACCCCUCUCUGGUCCCAAGACACACACCCAAACCCAGUGGGGCCUGGAAGCCCAGAAGAGCCCCACCCUGUGCUGCACAGCCACUCCCUUGGGGGCCUCUGGCCUCUCUCUUCUUUCUCCCCUGGGCUUGGCUGGGGAGAUGCCCAGCCACAUCUGUGGUCAGCUAUCUGGGCAGUGAAUUCCAGAAGGGGGUAAGUUUAGAAAUACGGCUGGGCAUGUCCAGCCCUGACCACGGCCAGCUCUGGAGGGCUGUCCUUUGGCUGUACCCACUUGGAAGAGAAA
rnacentral:lncRNA from 10 species